rnacentral:rRNA from 1 species
UAAUACGUAGGAUGCAAGCGUUGUUCGGAAUUACUGGGCGUAAAGAGUACGUAGGCGGUAAUGUAAGUCUGAUAUUAAAGACCAAAGCUUAACUUCGGGACUGUAUUGGAAACUGCAUUACUAGAGGACAAUAGAGGAAGUUGGAAUUCUCAGUGUAGCGGUGAAAUGCGUAGAUAUUGGGAAGAACACCAGUGGCGAAAGCGAACUUCUGGGUUGUUACUGACGCUGAGGUACGAAAGCGUGGGGAGCAAACGGGAUUAGAUACCCCGGUAGUCCACGCUGUAAACGAUGGAUACUAGGUGUAGCCGGUCUCGACCCCGGCUGUGCCGCAGCUAACGCAAUAAGUAUCCCGCCUGGGGAGUAUGGCCGCAAGGUUG